rnacentral:rRNA from 1 species
UAAGUAGAUGGUGAAGCCUGGGGCUCAACCCUUCAACAUCAUUAAACUGCAUAGCUAGAAUAUGGGAGAGGUACCUGGAAUUCCAAGUGUAGGAGUGAAAUCCGUAGAUAUUUGGAGGAACACCGAUGGCGUAGGCAGGGUACUGGCCUAUUAUUGACACUAAGGCACGAAAGCGUGGGGAGCGAACGGGAUUAGAUACCCCGGUAGUCCACGCUGUAAACUAUGGAUGCUA